rnacentral:rRNA from 1 species
AAUAUUGGACAAUGGCCGGAAGGCUGAUCCAGCCAUGCCGCGUGAAGGAAGAAGGUCCUAUGGAUUGUAAACUUUUUUUGUAUGGGAGCAAUAAGGGUGUCGUGACGCCCGAUGAGAGUACCAUACGAAUAAGCAUCGGCUAACUCCGUGCCAGCAGCCGCGGUAAUACGGAGGAUGCGAGCGUUAUCCGGAUUUAUUGGGUUUAAAGGGUGCGUAGGCGGUUUGUCAAGUCAGCGGUGAAACGCACGGGCUCAACCCGUGACCUGCCGUUGAAACUGUCGGACUGGAAUGCGGAUGCUGUGGGAGGAAUGUGUGGUGUAGCGGUGAAAUGCAUAGAUAUCACACAGAACACCGAUUGCGAAGGCAUCUCACAAAUCCGUGAUUGACGCUGAGGCACGAAAGUGUGGGGAUCAAACAG